GGAUAUUCUGCCAUGUACAUGAUAAACCUCGGAUUCUUCGUCAACAUGCUAGAUGUUACCCCCUGCAAACUACUGUUGACAGAAAAGCUGAUACAUUGGGACAAUGGUUACAGCAAGUGUGAUGAAUAAAUCACCAUAGAUCAGUUGCCUUGCCUUCCCAAUUGCAACAAAGACGAAUCAUGGAGUCAAAAAUAUCAAAAGAAUGUGCUGGAAUUCAUGUCAUCCUGGAGAGGACUAAAAAAAAGAGAUGUAUCCAUGAAGCAGUUCAUUAGUCAUGUCCCAAAUGAAUGCCUGUGUCAACCAGCAAUCUUUUAAUGGCUAACAGGGAUUUAAUGGUUUUGAAAAUCGCAGGCGACAUUCCUAAAUCCCACCUGUAAAAAGAUUUGACUACAACAAUUUUUAUUCUGAUCUGAUGCCUGCCAAAUUCUUUUCCCAUAAAAUGAGGUGAUAUGAGGUUAAACAGUUUUCCAAACAGUGAAGGUUUUUCGAAACUCUUCCCUAACUGAA